rnacentral:tRNA from 1 species
UGGCUCAGUUGGUAGAGCAUGGCACUUGCACUGCCGGGGUUGUGGGUUCAAUUCCCGA